rnacentral:rRNA from 1 species
AUUGAACGCUGGCGGCAGGCCUAACACAUGCAAGUCGAGCGGCAGAAGGGAGCUUGCUCCUGGAUUCAGCGGCGGACGGGUGAGUAAUGCCUAGGAAUCUGCCUGGUAGUGGGGGAUAACGUCCGGAAACGGGCGCUAAUACCGCAUACGACCUGAGGGAGAAAGUGGGGGAUCUUCGGACCUCACGCUAUCAGAUGAGCCUAGGUCGGAUUAGCUAGUUGGUGGGGUAAAGGCCUACCAAGGCGACGAUCCGUAACUGGUCUGAGAGGAUGAUCAGUCACACUGGAACUGAGACACGGUCCAGACUCCUACGGGAGGCAGCAGUGGGGAAUAUUGGACAAAGGGCGAAAGCCUGAUCCAGCAAUGCCGCGUGUGUGAAGAAGGUCUUCGGAUUGUAAAGCACUUUAAGUGGGGAGGAAGGGCAGUAAGUUAAUACCUUGCUGUGUUGACGUUACCAGCAGAAUAAGCACCGGCUAACUUCGUG